rnacentral:rRNA from 1 species
AUUGAACGCUGGCGGCAUGCCUUACACAUGCAAGUCGAACGGUAACAGGUCUUCGGAUGCUGACGAGAGGCGAACGGGUGAGUAAUACAUCGGAACGUGCCUAGUAGUGGGGGAUAACUACUCGAAAGAGUGGCUAAUACCGCGUGAGAUCUACGGAUGAAAGCAGGGGAUCGCAAGACCUUGUGCUACUAGAGCGGCCGAUGGCAGAUUAGGUAGUUGGUGGGAUAAAAGCUUACCAAGCCGACGAUCUGUAGCUGGUCUGAGAGGACGAUCAGACGCACUGGGGCUGAGAAACGGCCCAGACUCCUACGGGAGUAAGCAGUGGGGAAUUUUGGACAAUGGGCGCAAGGCUGAUCCAGCAAUGCCGCGUGCAGGAUGAAGGCCUUCGGGUUGUAAACUGCUUUUGUACGGAACGAAAAGCCCCGGGUUAAUACCCUGGGGUCAUGACGGUACCGUAAGAAUAAGCACCGGCUAACUACGUGCCAGCCGCCGCGGUAA